rnacentral:lncRNA from 1 species
GCGCUUUCCGCCCGCCAGGCAGCCGCGACCGCGCCUCCCUCUGCCCAGCCCUCCAGCAGCCCCUAAAUAUUCCCUGGGUCCCCAGGGGGCGGAAACGGACUUUGCAGCGCGCCGUCAGGCCCUGGCCCACCUUCCCGCGCAAAUCCUGCGAGGAGAUGCCUGGACCCGGGUCAGCGCCUCUCGGUCCCGCCGGCCCCGCGCAGCCUAAGGAGCGCAUGCGCGCUCGGGGACGCUGCCCUUGCGCGGGGUGCCUGGGCUGCGGAGGCAAACGCAGCGGGAAAUCUGCCGGAGGAGGCGGCCCUCGACCCAAGGGUCAGGGAAGGCUUCCUAGGGAUAUUUAAGCAGCGUUCUGGGAGAGGAAAGCACAUGUGGACAGAUGGAACCGACGAUGCAAAGGCCAAGAGGGCGACCAUUGGGGGAAGUUGCCAGCAUGAUGUGCCACUCAAGUAUUGAGUUCAAGACUUAGCCUGUGUGCAUCGGCCUUCAGGGGAGCCCUGCCUGAUAGUUGAGACAACACUAGAAUCCUAGCAGGCCUGCUCUGUGACCCAGGACAGUCAUUCAUUGCCUCUGAGCCUCACCUCCGGCAUCCUUGCAAUGGCGAGAACAUUCCUUCGCUUGAAGGCUUCCGUAAGCCAGGCACGUGGCGCAUGCGCAGUGAGGGAGCUUUGUCCCACUAGCAUUGCUCAGCCCGGAAACUGAACAGAGGCCUCUAGAAUGUCUCCUGAAACUUGUUCUCUGGGGCUGUGAAUGGAAGUGAGAGAGUGGGGUAGCAGAAGGAUUUUAAGGCUGGGGUUGGGAAGCAUGAGGCCCUGCUCUGGAUUUCCCCUGUGACUUCAGGCAAGUCAGGGCCCCUUUGCCCACCUUGGACGACAGGUGGUGGGCAGGAUGGCUCCUGCGGUCCCCAGGCUGCCUCCAUCAUCCAGUUUCCAGUGGAGUUCCACAGCUCCCCGAAAGCACUGCUCAUUCCCAGGCUCCCGUGACCCCCUCCCUCCAGCCGAUGAAAAUUCAGCGAGCCACCCAUGGUCAUGCAGCAGGCUAUUGGCAGGGCGUUUGGGCUGCCAGGAGGGGCAGGAACACAGUGCUUCUGUGGUCACCAUAGGUGACCUGAGUCAUUGCAGUCAGAUUCCUCUUGAGGUGAGCUGAGUCUCUGAAAGCUCCGGGUGGGCCACACGGAAGGCGGAUGCAGGCAGCCGUGUUCACCCUCCUGGGAUCCUGACUCCUGAUUGGGUGAGCACGGACACGUGACCCAGGCUGACCCAAACACGUGUUCGCUUGCUGAAUUGGGGGUUUGGAGUUCAGACUCAGACCUGGUCUUGACAGCCAGUCUCAGGCGUGGCUGCUGUUGAGGGACAUUGGAAGGGAAGCCUGCAGGUGUCCGGGGCUUCCCUGGCGAGUCCAGGAAGCCGUCCUCAGAGAAGUAGUGAUAAGAAGCGCCCUGACCUGGCUCCUCAGCCCCUGGCUGCUUCUCUAGUUCUCAAGGGGCCCAGGCCAUCCGUCACCCCUGCCAGGGGUUCCACGGCACACUGUGCCCUGAGGUGAUAGCCCUUUUGGCCUAAGGUCACCUGAAGGUCUUAACAGAAUAGCUGAUUUAUUACAACUUCAAACUGGAAGAGCCACUUCAUACAACUAGGCCUUGUCUCUGAGUUCCUGGCACCCUCGGCUUUGCCCACGGUUCUGAGACGGCCCCUCUCCAGCGGACUGUGAUGAGGCCUCCCCACAAACAAAACCUCCUUUUUCUCUUGGUGCCACGCUCCCUUCAGGGCCAUGUAUUCUGCACACGCCGCUGCCCUAAGCCCAUCACUUUGCCCUUCUGCCCAGCUGUACCCUCUUCGUCCCCUCCUCUGGCCCUCCCCCCUGGUCCAGAGGGCUUCAAACUCAAUGCCACCUCACCUCCAUCCCCAGCUCCUGUAACCAUGGAC